rnacentral:rRNA from 1 species
GAGAGUGACGUACGGGUGCGUAACACGUAUGCAACCUACCCUUAACAGGCGGAUAAGCUUCGGGGAAACUCGAAUUAACCCGUCAUAAUAUAAUUGGAUGGCAUCAUUUGAUUAUUAAAACUCCGGUGGUAAAGGAUGAGCAUGCGUCUGAUUAGUUAGUUGGCGGGGUAACGGCCCACCAAGACGAUGAUCAGUAGGGGAACUGAGAGGUUGAUCCCCCACACUGGCACUGAGAUACGGGCCAGACUCCUACGGGAGGCAGCAGUAGGGAAUAUUGGUCAAUGGAUGCAAGUAUGAACCAGCCAUGCCGCGUGCAGGAAGAAGGCCUUAUGGGUUGUAAACUGCUUUUGCCAGGGGAUAAAAUUUCCUUGCGAGGAACAUUGAAGGUACCUGGUGAAUAAGCCACGGCUAACUACGUGCCAGCAGCCGCGGUAAUACGUAGGUGGCAAGCGUUGUCCGGAUUUAUUGGGUUUAAAGGGUGCGUAGGCGGCCCUGUAAGUCAGUGGUGAAAUACUCUAGCUUAACUAGAGGGGUGCCAUUGAUACUGCAGGGCUUGAGUGGAGUCGAAGUAGGCGGAAUUGACGGUGUAGCGGUGAAAUGCUUAGAUAUCGUCAAGAACACCGAUAGUGAAGACAGUUUAAUAGGCUUCUACUGACGCUGAGGCACGAAAGUGUGGGGAUCAAACAGGAUUAGAUACCCUGGUAGUCCACACUGUAAACGUUGAUUACUCGCUGUUGGCGAUACACAGCCAGCGGCCAAGCGCAAGCGAUAAGUAAUCCACCUGGGGAGUACGCCGGCAACGGUGAAACUCAAAAGAAUUGACGG